AUUGAACGCUGGCGGCAGGCCUAACACAUGCAAGUCGGGCGGAUGAAGGGAGCUUGCUCCUGGAUUCAGCGGCGGACGGGUGAGUAAUGCCUAGGAAUCUGCCCGGUAGUGGGGGAUAACGUCCGGAAACGGGCGCUAAUACCGCAUACGUCCUGAGGGAGAAAGUGGGGGAUCUUCGGACCUCACGCUAUCAGAUGAGCCUAGGUCGGAUUAGCUAGUUGGUGGGGUAAAGGCCUACCAAGGCGACGAUCCGUAACUGGUCUGAGAGGAUGAUCAGUCACACUGGAACUGAGACACGGUCCAGACUCCUACGGGAGGCAGCAGUGGGGAAUAUUGGACAAUGGGCGAAAGCCUGAUCCAGCCAUGCCGCGUGUGUGAAGAAGGCCUUCGGAUUGUAAAGCACUUUAAGUUGGGAGGAAGGGCAGUAAGUUAAUACCUUGCUGUUUUGACGUUACCAACAGAAUAAGCACCGGCUAACUUCGUG
rnacentral:rRNA from 1 species